GAUGAACGCUGGCGGCGUGCCUAAUACAUGCAAGUCGAGCGAACAGAUGAGGAGCUUGCUCCUCUGACGUUAGCGGCGGACGGGUGAGUAACACGUGGAUAACCUACCUAUAAGACUGGGAUAAAUUCGGGAAACCGGAGCUAAUACCGGAUAAUAUAUUGAACCGCAUGGUUCAAUAGUGAAGGACGGUUUUGCUGUCACUUAUAGAUGGAUCCGCGCCGCAUUAGCUAGUUGGUAAGGUAACGGCUUACCAAGGCAACGAUGCGUAGCCGACCUGAGAGGGUGAUCGGCCACACUGGAACUGAGACACGGUCCAGACUCCUACGGGAGGCAGCAGUAGGGAAUCUUCCGCAAUGGGCGAAAGCCUGACGGAGCAACGCCGCGUGAGUGAUGAAGGUCUUCGGAUCGUAAAACUCUGUUAUUAGGGAAGAACAAAUGUGUAAGUAACUAUGCACGUCUUGACGGUACCUAAUCAGAAAGCCACGGCUAACUACGUG
rnacentral:rRNA from 1 species